AGGGGGUCUACUCUAAUUCAACGAAACGAAACUUCGAUAUCGAACGAAAUUCAAACGAAGUUUCGUUAGUGACCCUACUCUAUUUCAUUUUCGGACGAGCAUACGAACUUCGGAACCAUAGACAAUUUUCGUGAACGAAUGAAAUCUAUAAUAUGGUGUGAGGCUUUUAUGAUGUCGACUAAACUAAGUUACGGUUUUUACUUUAACUUGAAAUUAUUAAACUUUUCAGCUUUACUUAUUGAUGUAACGUUAUAAAUGUGAUUCAUUACAUAUUUCUUGUAAUAUUCAUGCAAACAAUUUAAACUUUUAGAUUAAAAAAAUAUUUUCAACUACUUUCGACUCGACACUACAAAAAACCCUUCGACAGUCAUAGCUAACCAACUAAUUUGAAGAGUACUAUUUCAUGCCAAAAAUGGGUAAUCACGUAUGACAACCAAAAAUAGCUGCAUAAUACAAGCUAAUCAUAACAUUGACAUGUUACUUACAAUUUUUUGUUUGAAUACUUUGUAAAGUUUUCUGGAGUGUGUUUCUCAAGUGUCGUAUUAAAUAAAUCAUGUUUCCAAGUGAGAUACAAAGGUCCGCGUUCCUUAAGGAAGUAUCAUGUCGUACUUUACUACAAUCCGACUUCUACGUACGACGUCUGCUGUAUUUUGGUUCGCAACAAGUUUUGUUUUGGAUUUAAACACUUUGUAAGUAGAUAUCAUAUUAUACAAAUAUAAUAUUUGGUUUUGCUCUAACACCAUUGCCUUUUCUAAUAAUAACCAUUUAUAUUUUCAGUUUAAAAUGGCUCCACAUACGGCAACUUUUGAGCAAAUAGAAACCCUUCUCAAUUUCCUGGACGAACAUAGAGAUUUAGCUCGCGGGAGAUUGAAUAGUUGAACCCAGCCAGGAAGAUAGGCAGCUGUUACAACCUGGGAGUCCAGCUGUAACAGCCGCCUAUGCACCACUAUCGUUGACACAAGAAUGCCUGACUUUCACACCUUCCUCUCGACAUACACACUCUGCAAGGAGACGAUCUGCAAGCACAGGUGUAAGAAGCAGAUUGUAUCAAUAUGAAGAGGAGCGUGCCCAGAGAGUGAGACGGUGAAAAACGCAGAGCUUGCAGGCAUCAGGGGCGAAUUGGCAGGCAUCAGUCCUACCCUAUUGCAGCUGCAUAACACAAUAAAUGAAUAUGUGGAUAGUAAUUAAGAUUUUGUUAGUUAUUAAUUGUGUUUAGUAUUUCUUAGCUAUUAAUUUGUUAUGUUUAAACAGGGUAAUAGUAAAUAAAACUUUAAGUAUAUAA
rnacentral:lncRNA from 1 species